UGGGGAAUUUUGGACAAUGGGCGCAAGCCUGAUCCAGCCAUGCCGCGUGCGGGAAGAAGGCCUUCGGGUUGUAAACCGCUUUUGUCGGGGAAGAAAUCUCUCGGGCUAAUACCUCGGGGGGAUGACGGUACCCGAAGAAUAAGCACCGGCUAACUACGUGCCAGCAGCCGCGGUAAUACGUAGGGUGCGAGCGUUAAUCGGAAUUACUGGGCGUAAAGCGUGCGCAGGCGGUCGUGCAAGACAGAUGUGAAAUCCCCGGGCUCAACCUGGGAACUGCAUUUGUGACUGCACGGCUGGAGUACGGCAGAGGGGGAUGGAAUUCCGCGUGUAGCAGUGAAAUGCGUAGAUAUGCGGGGGAACACCGAUGGCGAAGGCAGUCCCCUGGGCCUGUACUGACGCUCAUGCACGAAAGCGUGGGGAGCAAACA
rnacentral:rRNA from 1 species